AGACCCGAAACCCGGUGAUCUAGCCAUGGGCAGGUUGAAGGUUGGGUAACACUAACUGGAGGACCGAACCGACUAAUGUUGAAAAAUUAGCGGAUGACCUGUGGCUGGGGGUGAAAGGCCAAUCAAACCGGGAGAUAGCUGGUUCUCCCCGAAAGCUAUUUAGGUAGCGCCUCGUGAAUUCAUCUCCGGGGGUAGAGCACUGUUUCGGCUAGGGGGCCAUCCCGGCUUACCAACCCGAUGCAAACUGCGAAUACCGGAGAAUGUUAUCACGGGAGACACACGGCGGGUGCUAACGUCCGUCGUGAAGAGGGAAACAACCCAGACCGCCAGCUAAGGUCCCAAAGUCAUGGUUAAGUGGGAAACGAUGUGGGAAGGCCCAGACAGCCAGGAUGUUGGCUUAGAAGCAGCCAUCAUUUAAAGAAAGCGUAAUAGCUCACUGGUCGAGUCGGCCUGCGCGGAAGAUGUAACGGGGCUAAACCAUGCACCGAAGCUGCGGCAGCGAACGUAUCACCCAAGACAACUUUACGGAGUUGACGAUUGACGGAGCGAAGCGACGUCAAAGCGUUCAUUAAAGUCGAGUUGGCUUAGGGAUACGUUCGUUGGGUAGGGGAGCGUUCUGUAAGCCUGUGAAGGUGUGUCGUGAGGCAUGCUGGAGGUAUCAGAAGUGCGAAUGCUGACAUAAGUAACGAUAAAGCGGGUGAA
rnacentral:rRNA from 1 species